AGGUACAAGGCAGGGUUGUAUGUUAUCCCUCCUGCUUGUUCUGGCAAUGGAGCCAUUUGCAAUAAAGCUAACCAAGCCAUACAGAGGAAAUUCAGUGACUUGCCACCAGCCAUAAAGGAAAUCUGUGGCAAGGUUGGGGAUGGAACCUAAAUCUUCCAGCUCUUUGACCUAUGCCUUAAUCAUAAGACCAUGCCUCCUUCUUACUUCCUGUCUUUCACAUUUUUCCCUGUUCAUAAUAGAUAUGCAUUAUUUUUUUAAACAUGAACAGCAGCUGUAGAUCACAGUUAAAUAAUGCUUCGAGGAAUCAUUUUUCACCAGUACAUUAUUUGCAAUAUUUUAAACACUACAGUUAUAUUAUCAAACCCUUGUGAGACCUAUAAUGAAAGGUCAAAUCUGUUAUUUAUUUCAGAUGUCUUUAUGUAUAAUUAGAAGUUUAAUAAUCGUUCCUCUUAAAGCAUUGAUUUGGAAAUACUAACAUGUUGUGCUGAUGACACGGAAGCUACAUUCAUGCUGAGAAGCAUCGUUUGUCUGCAGCUUCUGUCUGGCUUUUGUUCACCCCUUGUUUCAGAUGCCCACUGACUGCAAUUAAACAUGAGAUGAGGCUUUUCACUUGUGUUUGCUGUGCAUGCAAAGCUUUAUAUCCCUAUUAGUUUAUUGGGAUCAAAAGCUCCUGGCACAUCAUGUCUAGACAACUUAAAUUAUUUAUGAAGUAUAAUUUGUGAUUUUUGAAAAUUGUCCUUAUUGAAAGCCGGCAGUUGCUUUUACAGACAUAGCAGAAAAGAUGGCUGUUCGAAAGGCAAAAUAAACAUGCAAAGUGUAGAGAGAGAAUGUCUAGUCUGUGCCAUUUAGUAACUAUGAAUUUACAGAAGUGUGUUCUAAAUGGAUCCUUCUAGCUAGGAUAUAAAAAUUAGACUUCUGUGGGGGGCAGUUGUAAGAAAAUUUGAAGAAAAACAAACAAACAACUUUCUACCACCAGAUGGGGACAAAUGUCUGUGCGUGUAUGAGAGAGAGAUAAUAGUUUGUUUCCCAAAGAAGAGAGAGUUUGUAGAAAAUGAGGCUGGUUAGCAGAGGGGGGAUGGGAGAAUAAAAAACUCAGAAAAAUAAGCAGUUGAAAGGCAAAGAGAAAGGCAGAAGUGUCUUUUAGUUUAGUUUUUGCAUGCUUAUGAAUGUUAGUAAUCGAGUCAUUUGGGAAAAUGCAUCUUGCUUCUUGGUAUCUGGAGUGAUUCCCUUUGGGGAAACCGUGGCUUUUGAAAUCCUUUAAAAAAACAUUCUAACUAUUUCUCAAAGCCUAGCUGCUACUCCAGUCCUGAGUCUAUGAACUCCAUGUCACUGAGCUCAAGAAUCCCUGCCCUACUUAAAUAAGUAGAUGUGUGCAGUUUCAAGGUUGAAUGACACUUGUGUAGUAUGUACCAAUAACCGUCAACUGAUGUAAGUGAAUCAAUAAAGGAGCAUUUUUAUCUGC